CGAUAAGUAGUGUGAAUUGCAGAAUUCAGUGAAUCAUCGAAUCUUUGAACGCACAUUGCGCCCCUUGGUAUUCCAUGGGGCAUGCCUGUUCGAGCGUCAUUUGUACCCUCAAGCUCUGCUUGGUGUUGGGUGUUUGUCCCCGUCUCCGCGCGUGGACUCGCCCCAAAGUGAUUGGCAGCCGGCGUACUGGUCCCGGAGCGCAGCACAUGUCGCGCAAACGAGUGCCUUGGUACGGCGGCGUCCAUAAGCCCCUCUCUCACGCUCUUGACCUCGGAUCAGGUAGGGAUACCCGCUGAACUUAAGC
rnacentral:misc_RNA from 1 species